UACGUAGGGGGCUAGCAUUGUCCGGAAUCAUUGGGCGUAAAGCGCGCGUAGGCGGCCAGAUAAGUCCGGUGUGAAAGUCACAGGCUCAACCUGUGAAUGCCGCUGGAAACUGUCUGGCUUGAGUCCGGAAGGGGCGAGUGGAAUUCCUGGUGUAGCGGUGAAAUGCGCAGAUAUCAGGAGGAACACCAAUGGCGAAGGCAGCUCGCUGGAACGGUACUGACGCUGAGGCGCGAAAGCGUGGGGAGCGAACAGG
rnacentral:rRNA from 1 species